UACGGGGGGGGCAAGCGUUGUUCGGAAUUACUGGGCGUAAAGGGCUCGUAGGCGGCCAACUAAGUCGGACGUGAAAUCCCCAGGCUCAACCUGGGAACUGCGUCCGAUACUGGAUGGCUUGAAUCCGGGAGAGGGAUGCAGAAUUCCAGGUGUAGCGGUGAAAUGCGCAGAUAUCGGGAGGAACACCAAUUGCGAAGGCAGCUCGCUGGGACGUCACUGACGCUGAGACGCGAAAGCGUGGGGAGCAAACAGG
rnacentral:rRNA from 1 species